AAGGGAGACGUCGCUGCGCUGGGCCUCUCGGCGGUCCCCCCCACCCGGGUCCCGGGCCCACUGGCCCCCCGCAGACGCCGCUACACGCUGACUCCAGCCAGGCUGCGCUGGGACCACUUCAACCUCACCUACAGGCUUCUACCCGAUCAACCACACGGACUGCCUGGUCUCCGCGCUGCACCACUGCUUCGACGGCCCCACGGGGGAGCUGGCCCACGCCUUCUUCCCCCCGCACGGCGGCAUCCACUUCGACGACAGCGAGUACUGGGUCCUGGGCCCCACGCGCUACAGCUGGAAGAAAGGCGUGUGGCUCACGGACCUGGUGCACGUGGCGGCCCACGAGAUCGGCCACGCGCUGGGCCUGAUGCACUCACAACACGGCCGGGCGCUCAUGCACCUGAACGCCACGCUGCGCGGCUGGAAGGCGUUGUCCCAGGACGAGCUGUGGGGGCUGCACCGGCUCUACGGAUGCCUCGACAGGCUGUUCGUGUGCGCGUCCUGGGCGCGGAGGGGCUUCUGCGACGCUCGCCGGCGGCUCAUGAAGAGGCUCUGCCCCAGCAGCUGCGACUUCUGCUACGAAUUCCCCUUCCCCACGGUGGCCACCACCCCACCGCCCCCCAGGACCAAAACCAGGCUGGUGCCCGAGGGCAGGAACGUGACCUUCCGCUGCGGCCAGAAGAUCCUCCACAAGAAAGGGAAAGUGUACUGGUACAAGGACCAGGAGCCCCUGGAGUUCUCCUACCCCGGCUACCUGGCCCUGGGCGAGGCGCACCUGAGCAUCAUCGCCAACGCCGUCAAUGAGGGCACCUACACCUGCGUGGUGCGCCGCCAGCAGCGCGUGCUGACCACCUACUCCUGGCGAGUCCGUGUGCGGGGCUGAGCCCGGCUGAUAAAGCACUUUCUCUC